UUCUGGUUGAUCCCGCCAGACCUGACUGCUAUCGGAUUGAUACUAAGCCAUGCGAGUCAUUGUAGCAAUACAAGGCAGACGGCUCAGUAACGCGUAGUCAAUCUACCCUAUGGACGGGAAUAACCUCGGGAAACUGAGAAUAAUGCCCGAUAGAACAUUAUACCUGGAACGGUUUAUGUUUCAAAUGAUUUAUCGCCGUAGGAUGGGACUGCGGCCUAUCAGUUUGUUGGUGAGGUAAUGGCCCACCAAGACUAUUACAGGUACGGGCUCUGAGAGGAGUAGCCCGGAGAUGGGUACUGAGACACGGACCCAGGCCCUAUGGGGCGCAGCAGGCGAGAAAACUUUGCAAUGUGCGAAAGCACGACAAGGUUAAUCCGAGUGGUUUCUGCUAAAGAAACCUUUUGCUAGUCCUAGAAACACUAGUGAAUAAGGGGUGGGCAAGUUCUGGUGUCAGCCGCCGCGGUAAAACCAGCACCUCAAGUGGUCAGGAUGAUUAUUGGGCCUAAAGCAUCCGUAGCUCGUUUUGUAAGUCUUCGGUUAAAUCCAUACGCUUAACGUAUGGGCUGCCGGGAAUACUGCAUAACUAGGAAGUGGGAGAGGUAGACGGUACUCGGUAGGAAGGGGUAAAAUCCUUUGAUCUAUUGAUGACCACCUGUGGCGAAGGCGGUCUACCAGAACACGUUCGACGGUGAGGGAUGAAAGCUGGGGGAGCAAACCGGAUUAGAUACCCGGGUAGUCCCAGCUGUAAACUAUGCAAACUCAGUGAUGCAUUGGCUUGUGGCCAAUGCAGUGCUGCAGGGAAGCCGUUAAGUUUGCCGCCUGGGAAGUACGUACGCAAGUAUGAAACUUAAAGGAAUUGGCGGG
rnacentral:rRNA from 1 species